UCUCUCUCUCUCUCUCUCUCUCAACUUCUUCUCCAUCUGAAGAAAUAUUUGAGUUUGUUCUUGUUUUCCGAGGCUUGGAAACCAAGGUGUCGAAGAUCUGGUGAUGGACUCUAGACCGGUG